rnacentral:rRNA from 1 species
CAAUAGCGUAUAUUAAAGUUGUUGCAGUUAAAAAGCUCGUAGUUGGAUUUGUGGCGUACGGUGUGUUCCGGGCACUUGUUGUCUGAGUAACCUGCUGUUGCCAUCCUUGGGUGGAACCUGUGUGGCAUUAGGUUGUCGUGCAGGGGAUGCCCAUCAUUUACUGUGAAAAAAUUAGAGUGUUCAAAGCAGGCUUAUGCCGUUGAAUAUAUUAGCAUGGAAUAAUGAGAUAGGACUUUCUUGCUAUUUUGUUGGUUUGCGCAAAGAGGUAAUGAUUAAUAGGGACAGUUGGGGGUAUUCGUAUUCCAUCGUCAGAGGUGAAAUUCUUGGAUUUUUGGAAGACGAACUACUGCGAAAGCAUUUACCAAGGAUGUUUUCAUUAA